UUCAUCCUCACAAAGAAUCUUUAGGCAACAGAAACAUAAUGAGGAAAAAGACAAACAGCCAAAGAAUACAUAGCCAUCUGCAAGACCCAGAUAUCUCCAGCACACCAUGAUGCCAUUAUUUGAGCGCUAUUAAGCCAUCAGGUGACUUGGCUUUUAGCUUUGACCUGACAUUCAGCUAAUGUGAUGAGUAAAUGAAAAUGUACUUAAUGGAAGCACUACCUGGAAAUCUAUAUUUGUUCCCACACCCCUGCAUGCAGCACACCCUGAAAAAAAAAAUGUCUUUGUGGCAUAGGAUCCACUCAGGCAGAUGGCCAUUUUAAAACGUCAAAUGAAACUGAAAUAAGAUCGAUGUAUUUAAUACAUUAGAAAAGGCCUUUUAAAGUAAAUUUCCAUAUAACAUGGCUCAUAUAUCUUUAAGUAAGGCUUUUACUUUUCUUAUGUGCCUUUAACCAAGCCAUAGUAGCUUUAGGCCCCAUUUUGGAUUCAGACGGAGUGGAUAAUCCAAAAUAUUUUGGAGGCCAUUAUUUGCCAUUUGUCAUUUUUACCUAUGUUUGAAGUACCAGUGAAGCUUUUUCACUUUCCUCUCCAGCUGUCAGCUGCAUUGAGACAGCUUUUAGCAAGCCAAAGAGAAUGUUCUCUGUCAGCCAUUGAAUACUGCAACCCUCCAUAUUUAGAUUUGCCAUUCAAAAUGAUAGAGGUGUCACAUAAAGAGAGGUCUGACUGUGUCAGUGCAUUUAUAAAAGGUGUCAAACAUGCUGGUUUGAAUCCAACGUUUAAGUGCUUUUCCUUUCUCUGCCUUCAAUGCCCGCCAGCUGGAGAAGAAGAAAAAGAAAGGGAGAAAUAUUAAAUGCCAUUGCUGCAUCUGUCAAAACCAUCACAAACAACAUCAGCUGUGAUGUCCAAGAUCAUUUUCGUUACGGCGUGACCUGUUGAACGGUCAUCUAAAGCCAAUAGAAAUAAGCCCCUCCCACUGGUUAUUCUUAGUGUUUGUUUGUUUCUCUCUCUCUGUGUUUUCGGGGCCCCACAAGGGGCCAUUUUGAGACGAGAUCGGCUCAAGGAAAAGAAGCACAAAGGAGAGAGGUAUAGAGAGUGAUGCUGCCAACCUCUCAACAGGGUGCAAUCACUUUACCUGUCAACCCCUCCGCAUGUCAUCUUUCAUUUUCCGGCUCGAGGGACAAGAGAAAGCGUAUAACAGCAUUCACAGACACCCAGAUGUUCCAUUGGCGAGUAUCUGGCACGUCGCUUUCCUGCCUUUUUAUUUCCUGUUUCUGAAUGAUGACCGAGUCGUGUAGGAGUUGACAAAAAAGUAGCAAAAGAUUAUUAAAAAAAAAAAAAGAAAAAAACGGCAAGCAUUUAGCAUUUUGC